rnacentral:rRNA from 1 species
UACGGAUGGGGCAAGCGUUACUCGGAUUCACUGGGUGUAAAGGGCGCGUAGGCGGUAUUGUAAGUCAAAUGUGAAAUCCCACGGCUUAACUGUGGAUACGCACUUGAAACUGCAAUACUUGAGUUCAGAUGAGGAGAAUGGAAUUCCCGGUGUAGGGGUGAAAUGUGUAGAUAUCGGGAAGAACUCCAAUGGCGAAGGCAAUUCUCUGAUCUGAUACUGACGCUCAGGCGCGAAAGUAUGGGGAGCAAACAGG